AUGGAAACUGAUGGAAAAAAACAAAAACAAAUUCCAUUAAUUGUUUCCAGUUUACUUUAAAAGGAAAAAACUAAAAAUAAGAGAGGAGAGAUGCGGCAUCAGCUUGUACCACACUGUCAGGUGAGUGUGGCUGACAGCGGCAGCAGCGCUCCUGAUUGAUCUAUAUAGUCAAAGUAAGGGGAAUAAAACGCCACAAUUCCGGCGCGGAAUUCCAAAAUAAAACCUCGACCGGAGAACAUGUGUUGUGAAGGUGCUUAAAACUUAUUUUUGUGCUGCAAAAUAGUCCACAUCCGGCCACUGUUCAGUUAUCUGAUAUAGACUUGAUUGUUACUUAAACUCAAUUGUAGCCUAUUUUCAAUAGCAUCAGUGACUGCUACUGUGACCAUAUAGAUAGUCCUGUACCGACCCCAUCCCACUACCAAUACAGUAGUAGGCUAUAUGAACAGGCGGCCUACGAUUAGGUAAAAUACCGAGACAAAUAUAGAUCAUUGCCUCAUGUAAUUUAGGUCUACUUACACUCAAUAACAAAAACGUAAAGGUCCCCCCGGGUUAUAUGAUAAUUACCCUACAUUUAAGAAGCUCGGUUGCCAUGGAAUCCUGAUUACAUCAAACUAUUAUUAGAAAUAAUUGCACUUUGUGACCAAGCACUUAGUCACCUGUCAUACCGGAGGGGUCCUGCAGGUGAGGCAGCUUAGAUACGUGCGUCUAAAAUUCAGCAGCACACCUGAGUCCAAAUGGAAAAAGAGAAGAAGGCAUAAUGUUACGUUGAUAGCUAACUGGUUUGUAAACCGAUGGGGACGUUAGCUAAGUAAACGUUUAAAACAUAUGAGUAGGGCUGUUAUUGUUAUAUGUGGAUCGAUAACGUAAAAACUGUGGAGAGACGCAGCGAUAGGCAGCUGUUGAACUAGCGAACUUUAGCAUCAGUCUCCGAGAUUCAUUAGAAGAAUGCAGGAGAAAUGGACUGAGCAACAUUAUAUCCAAACUGUGGAAGACAGUAUGAAGAUGAGAGAGCAGUGGGAUGAACCAACAGAGCAUCAGAAGCAACAGGGCCCUGCAGCGGUCCACUGGGAGCCUAGGGAUGCUUGGUGGCCUUUCUCCCAGGUUUCCUGUCUCCUGACUCAGCACCAGCUGUGCACACCCGCAGGAAAAAGAACAUGCAAAGGAAAGCCAGGCAAAGCGUUUUGGAGGAAGGAUCAUCAUGCUCUGUGGGAUAAUGGCCCCUAUGGAUGAUGUCAUGUAGGAGCAGGAUAUAUAGGCUAGGUCAUGUGCAGAACAUUGAGGCUGGGAAAGAUCUUUUGGACUUAGAAACCCAUUUAACACUGCAUCCAUCCCCUGAUUACGCAGUAUUCUGUGAUUGCUGCCAAACUGGGUAAAUGCGUUAUGAGUGAGCAGUUUAGGCCAGAUACAUAUGUUAGAUAUUUUAAGACCAUGUAGCUAUUAAAACUCCUUCCUAUUUCUAAACCUAAACUCUCGUGGGGAAAUUACCCCUGAGUGGACAAUCCUCCUUAAAUUGUAUGUAAUAAUAAAUGUAAAUAUAAA